UACGAAGGGGGCUAGCGUUGCUCGGAAUCACUGGGCGUAAAGCGCACGUAGGCGGAUUGCUAAGUCAGGGGUGAAAUCCUGGAGCUCAACUCCAGAACUGCCUUUGAUACUGGCGAUCUCGAGUCCGGGAGAGGUGAGUGGAACUGCGAGUGUAGAGGUGAAAUUCGUAGAGAUCAUGAGGAAGACCAGUGGCGAAGGCGGGUCUCUGGACAGUUCCUGACACUGAGACACGAAGGCCAGGGGAGCAAACGGG
rnacentral:rRNA from 1 species